rnacentral:lncRNA from 1 species
AGAAUCAUGGCCCGUUUACGCCACAAGUUGCCACGAGUUAAGCUAAUCGGGUAAAUCUGGAGUGCUGAUUUUGACCGCUGAACCGCUUGUUGUCGACGCCUCCCGCGCCACUGUAACCUGGAGUUGAUGUGUGCUCCGGCCGGUCGGCAAUGGAGGACAAGUGGGAGUUAGGGCAUAGCUAGCUAGCGGCGGUGUUCUUGGUUGUACUAGCUGUCUGUGGGCCGUGCCAUUGAUUCUGGUAGGGUAGAUGGUCUGUAUGGCCUUGAAGAAAAGUUUGCCAACGGAAGGAAGGAAUCCAAAUGUAGGUGUGUAAUUAGUACUGGUAGUAUGUUGCUUUCGCUUUAUGUCGAUGAAAUAAAAUGAAAUGAAAUGUUUGCUCCAUGCUCCUGGCCCAUAUGUGUAUGUAUGGGUGGCGGUUGUUGCACAUCGACUGUAUCUCCGGGCAUUUAACUUGGUUUUCCGGGGUCCAGCUAUUUAUUUAGGUAAACGUUUGGGAUCGGCGCACCGGCCGAACGCUCGGCCGGUCCCUCGCCCACGUGGACACCACGCAACACAAGGGCCCGCACACAGUCGUCUUUCCUCUAUCCUCUUCUCGGGCCGGUCACGCGCGAGCCAAGCGAUCCAGGCCCAUCAUACGUCUCUGCUCACCUCCUGCCUCACCUUAUCUUCUUCCUCCUCCUGAUCCCCUUCUCUUUCUCUCUCUAUCACAGCCGCAGCCACGCAUGUUGGCGGCCAGCCCUUCGUCUUUCUCCUUCAAAUCCCGCCGGCGGCUAGCUCCAGUCCCGCGCAGAUCCCUAUCUCCAACCUCAGCCCAUUCCAACCCCCUUUGCUGCCCCUGGCUGAAGGUUCCGCCCCGGCGAGACAGAGUUGGAAUUCGCCAUGGAUACGCCGUCCGCGAACUGCUGCUCACAGUUCCUUGUGCUGGAACCGUCCGCCGGAGAUGCUACAGCCAUGGCGGAGCGACCUCCUCCCCCACCGCUGCAACCACCUUCUCCCCGAACGAACUUGAAAGCAUUUUUUUGUUCCUCCACCCAAUGUUGCAAUCGACGAUGCAAAAAGCUACAACCGUUUGAUUCAAAAGCUUCAACCCGCGGUAUAUUAAGCUUCAACCGGAUACCGCGCACAGAAAAAAGCUACAAUCAUUCAUAUGAAAGCUUCAACUGUAGUUUGAAAAAGCUUCAACCAGCGACAGCUGGAGGUGGAAGAAGAUGACAAAACGUUUUGCAGUUUUGCUACAUGCUUCAACCAGCAUAGAUUUUGCUACAACCGGCAAUAGCAUUUUGCUACAGCUAGGGUCACGUUUUGCUACAACCACAGCCGGCGUCGUGGUUUUGCUACGACUAGCAUCGCGUUUUGCUACAACCGGCAUAAUGUUUUGCUACAUCCAACACGGCCGAGCUGCGACCCGCGAUGGCGACGACGACUUUUUGUUGCAACCGUCGUACGUACUUGCUACGUCCGGCAACGGGUUUUGUUACAUCCGUUCAUCAUGCAAAUGUUGCUACCUACAACAACGAGCUACAACCAGCGAAAAUGGUGACAUUUCUUUUUUGCUGCAACCGUGUCUCCAUUUUGCUACGACAAAUAACGAAAAAUGCUACAACGGGCAAUUCUAUUUGCUGGAACCAGUCAAUCGCCAGCGAUGCGGAGCUGCAUCCAUGGCGUGCGCGGGCGGCGAGGGCGGGAUCCACCCAUGGCGAGCGUGGGCGGCGAAGCUGCAUCCAUGGCAAGCGCGGGCGGCGGAGAUGCAUCCAUGGUGAGCGUAGAUCUCCGAGGAGCGCGGGCGGCGGAGCUGCAUCCAUGGCGAGCAUGGAUCUCGGGCAAGCGUGAACGGCCGGCGAGGAUGGGGACCGGCGACGAGGGGUUGGAAAGGGAUGGGGACCGGUGAUGGGGAAGACCGACGGGGGCCGGCGACGAGGACGGCAACCGGAGGGGACAAGAGGCGCGGCGCCGCGCUCCUUGAGCGAGGCAUGUGGAUCCAGCCCGAGUGCUCGAGGAAGAAGAAGCCGGGGGCGAUUCGUUUUUUUUUACCUGGAUCCAACGACCCGCGCGGCUCACAUCCAACGGACGGGGCUAGACCGGCCGAAACUUUCGGCCGGCGCACCGGCGCCUAUCAGCGCCCAUUUAUUUAGUCAUCAAACUCGGAACAGAGAUGGGUUCGAACGGAAUCGAAUACGGAGUAGUAAUACAAUAAUGAGGUAAAAGCACGGGAGACCCAGGAACUUGUCCAGCCCGUGAUGUUUCAGCCCACGAACUUGCAAAGCCUCAUCCCGCCACCCACAAACUUGCAGCUGAUGUGCAGAAAAACCCAAAGCCAAUCCCGACGCGACAUCUGGCGCCACGCUGGCGGAGGAGAGCCGAGGCGGUCGUCGCCCGUUUUGCAGAAACCACCCUGGGCUUUAGCAGUAAUAAACCCGCACUCCACAUCUCGGCUGUACGGAGGAUGUCCACCAGUCCCCACAGGGUCGUCGGCGGCCGAGCACAUCGACCAAGCUACUCGAGCCGCUCCACCGCGAACUCUGACAUCGAGCCAACGGCAGCGGAGCCCGCUGCUGUUUGUCGGGGGCAUGAGUUGAAGGAUGCACAGGAGGAGGCAGAGUUUGAGGAGGUGUAGGCGAGACGGCGCGCGUAGCGGAGGGAUGCUGGUGGCGACGAAUACCUGCCGCCCGACCAGGUCGUCUUCGGGCUACCAGCUCCGGCGUAUGAGGCAUCCUUGCUCACCGCGCAGGCCGAUGAGGAUCUACGCGCAGCCAAGCAGUAGCUCGACGACGCCGUCAUAACUGCGUCCUGGUCCACGCGCCGUCCUCCGCCGGGCUGCAGAAGCAGAGCGCGCAGCCAGAGAGCGAGGAAGGGUUGUGUCUGCCUCUGCGUCUGCCGCUCAACAGGGAAGAACCCCAUUGUCCACUCUUCGGACGACGACGAGUAGAAUAAGCACCUGCAAUUCACUCUAUCUAUCCAUGCAUUCUCGUUUCAGUUUAGCCUGUUGACUACUAUUCUGUCAGCUUUCAGUUAGUACUCUGUCAGUUUAGCCUGUUUGUAUCAAUGUUCAGUUAGCGUUUGUAACAAUGUAUCCAUGUUUGUAUCCAUUUGAAUUUCUAUCCAUGUUUAUAGUCAAAGAACUAUGCUGUGAUGAACAAUGUCUGAACUUUAUCGCACUGCAAAAUCCCUGAUCUUUUCAAUUAAGUUCACUUGACAGAUGCAGUACAAAUGACAACCAUGCCAACAUCAACUACAUCAGAACAAAACAGAAGAAAUACUACAGAGCUCUAUCUCGGCAAGACUAAUAUUCCAUCAAAUGUUAUGAUCCUAUCCCAAAACAGAAGCCUUUCCUUGUGGAUCCUUCCAUUUGCCCUCUUUUCAAAUUAGGAAGCACGUCAUCCUACGAAAACUCAAAUCCUAAAUUGUCAAUCAUAGUACAUCCCAACAGCAAAGGGAAUUCGUGACGACGAAGAACUAAACCUGAGAUGCAGAUGGAGCCCCAAAGUUGACGACGGACGUCUCCUUCCUGCUGCCGCUCCCUCCGCAGCCCAGACUCGCCGUCGCCGUCGACCUAGCUCUCAUGCUUUUGGCAUUGGGCGAGACAGAGGGGAACAAGAGGGAGAGAGGCUAGGGAUUUGGCUGCAGCUCGAAUGGGGAACGAGAGAGAGGGGCUACAGAUUUUUCCCGUGCAACCGAGAUGUGGAGUGCGGGUUUAUUACUGCUAAAGCCCAGGGUGGUUUCUGCAAAACGGGCGACGACCGACUCGGCUCUCCUCCGCCAGCGUGGCGCCAGAUGUCGCGUUGGGAUUGGCUUUGGGUUUUUUGCACAUCAGCUGCAAGUUUGUAGGUGGCGGGAUGAGGUUUUGCAAGUUCGUGGGCUGAAACAUCACGGGCUGGACAAGUUCCUGGGUCUCCCGUGCUUUUACCUCUACAAUAAUUAUUUUGUUGGCUCUGUAUUCUGGGCCAUCCAUCGCAAAUGAUUGCAUCGAACAUACGUACUCCUGAAACUUAGUUGCCUGCAUCUUGGGGUGGAGGAGUAAAUGAAGACUAUUCAACAGAACCUGUUCAUUGAUUUAUUGAGUUAUCCACACUGGCGCCUGCCUCGGAAUUUCUCUGUAGUUUCUGUAUCACAUGUACUACAUACAGAAACAGUUUCCGUCGGCAAGCGGUUCAAGGCUUGGGAGCCACAGGUGUCGGUUUCCAGCCGUGUCUAUUUUUGAUUCAUUUCGAAGCCCAGGUUGCUGUGUUGAAAGCGCUCAGUUUUGUGUGCUGUCGGUUGUGUACUGGAGACGACAGUGUUGGAGUUUGGAUUGGCUUUCACGAUCCGCGUCUCGUUUGCAUCGAAGAGGGCAACCACCCCCCACACCCACAUGCAAAUUUGAAUUUGAAAGAGUGCGAGUGCUCUACACUUCUUCUGCUAUGGUGCCAAGCAUGUGGAUUUGGAUGCUCGAUCUGUUCUGCAAACGAGGCGGCUGUUGGGUUCACAUUUUCACAACAAAUGGGAACGGGACGGUGUUGGAACUUGGGCUGGACUGGAGUAGUACCCAUUUCUUUCUCCAUGCCACCCUAUGUGUCUGUCUUGUCGAUCCCCCCCUCCAUGAAUUUGUUGUGCUCCGCGAAAUUGCACCAGCAGCCGCUUGCAGCAAAAUUUCUGCUGGUAUUAUAAAGUGAAGUUGGUAGAUUCGUCUCACCUCAUCCCCAUUUUUUUCUCACCACAACGCCACCCGCGCUUGGUUUUCUGCGAAAAAAGUUGGAAUCUGAACCGAUUCCGCACAAAAAGAACCGUAUGUAGAGUAACUUGAAAUAAUCUGAGCCAAAUCGAUAUUUUUCUUCGAAAGUGCUGAGCACACGAUCUGUGCAUGCACAAUCCACACACGACACGAUUUCGGCCACGAAGAUUUACAAAACGAGGCAACCCAAGGGUGUAGAUGUGUUGUAGUGCGCAGAUCAUGCAUGAAUUUGUCCUGUGUGUGUAUAGCAGUGCUCAUUUUUCUUUCCUUGUCCUACUCAUUCCCUUGAAACAAAAAUGACAUCCAUUAAUUUUUGAAAAGUAUCAUCUAGCAUUGAAUGAAGGGAAACUCUUGCGUUCAUCCGACCUAUCUUUUUGCGCGCAUCCAUCACCUUUAUGACCAUCGGAUGUUUCCUUAAUCAGAUGGCUCGGAACUAUCUUUUUUUUUUCUUUCACAAUCUAGCUUUGCAACUGGACCAUUCUUGCAAUUUUCGCCCCCGCAACAACUAGCUUGUUGCAAGAUAUGGAUCCAUGGCCUCCAGACAUGCAUGCCACUAGACACGUCGGCGCCGCCGUGGACAAGCAUGCUCUCCUCCUUCAUCGCCCCCUCUCCUCCUCCUUUCUCUCCUCCCUCGACGGGCCCGGCCCACUCUCAUGCUCCAUCUCCUCGGUCGUUGGUCGCCUCUCCACGGCUGCCCGAUGACCUCGUCCGAGCUGCCUUCCGCCGGAUUUGUGUCGCUCCAGUGAGAUCGACGCCGCAUUGCCUUGGGAAUCUUCGCCCCUCGGCCGUCCCCGACGUUUCCUGCGUCUAAUGCUGCUGCUGGGCGACGUGGAGUGGGAUCCACAAUUGAUUUUUGUCUUCUGCAACAACGUGUUUUUGUAACAAGACUCUUGUUGCAAAAUGGCUCUUGUUGCAACAGAUUAAGAGGAAAAAUAGUUUUUUGUUGCAACAUGGACUUUAUUGCGAAUAAUUUCUGCAAUUAGACCUCUGUGGCAGAAAAUACUGCAGCAACACAUUGGUUGCAAAGAUGACGGAUCACGCACGAACAUCCGCGGCUUCAUCCAAUGGUUAGGGAGGCGGCCGAUCUUUUAACUUUAUCCGCCGGCAGACGCAUAGCAUCACCCUUGGAUGAAAGGAUCAUAUUAAUUAUGCAGAGUAUCAUUCUUUUUCGGUUUUCACAAUAGCAGGUAGUGCGGUUAAAUAUCUCAAGCGGGGAUCAAUUUAAUUUAGUAAAGUAUCAUUUAUGUGGGCUCCUCUUAUAAACCAUAGUCCCAUUUUCAUCAUCUUCAUGAUCUGCCACAUGAUUCUAUGUGACAACAUCGAAGUGGGAUGAGCCAUAGAAAAAACCACUCACGGUCAUGAUGUAUCUAUUGAGGCACUCAUAAUUGGUAUUGAAAAUCACUAUUAUAUGUUUGCCCCUGUUGCAACACAUGGGUAAAUAGCUAGUAUACAAGUAAAGUUUAGUUGUGGCUUAAAAUCAACUCAUAAAAAAAACUUCACGGCAAUAAUUACAAUUCACUGCAACAAUUACAAAUAGAAUUGACUAGAAGCUGGGAGCAACGGGCUAAGCACCUUCAACGAUGGAGCGAUAAGUGGACUGACAGUGUCAAGAUGCAGAUUGUGAUGGCGCUCAUCGGCUUGAUGUGGCCUUGGACUUGCGAAGUCUAUCUUGGAAGGAAAUUGGGUUGCAAGGGACUCUCAAACUUAAGCUGUUGGGUAUAUGUGAAAAAAUAUGCCCUAGAGGCAAUAAUAAAGUUGUUAUUUAUAUUUCCUUAUAUGAUGAUAAAUGUUUAUUAUUCAUGCUAAAAUUGUAUUAACCGGAAACUUAGUACAUGUGUGAAUACAUAGACAAACUGAGUGUCCCUAGUAAUGCCUCUACCUGACUAGCUCGUUAAUCAAAGAUGGUUAAGUUUCCUAGCCAUAGACCUGUGUUGUCAUUUGAUGAACGGGAUCACAUCACUAGGGAAUGAUGUGAUGGACAAGACCCAUCCGUUAGCAUAGCACUGUGAUCGUUUAGUUUAUUGCUAUUGCUUUCUUCAUGACUUAUACAUGUUCCUAUGACUAUGAGAUUAUGCAACUCCCGAAUACCAGAGGAACACUUAGUGUGCUAUCAAACGUCACAAACAUAACUGGGUGAUUAUAAAGAUGCUCUACAGGUGUCUCCGAUGGUGUUUGUUGAGUUGGCAUAGAUCGAGAUUAGGAUUUUUCACUCCGACUGUCGGAGAGGUAUCUUUGGGCCCUCUCGGUAAUGCACAUCACUAUAAGCCCUGCAAUCAAUGUGACUAAUGAGUUAGUUGCAGGAUGAUGCAUUACGGAACGAGUAAAGAGACUUGCCGGUAACGAGAUUGAACUAGGUAUGGUGAUACCGACGAUCGAAUCUCGGGCAAGUAACAUACCGAUGACAAAGGGAACAACGUAUGUUGUUAUGCGGUUUGACCGAUAAAGAUCUUUGUAGAAUAUGUAGGAACCAAUAUGAGCAUCCAAGUUCUGCUAUUGGUUAUUGACCGGAGAUGUGUCUCGGUCAUGUCUACAUAGUUCUCGAACCCGUAGGGUCCGCAUGCUUAACGUUCGAUGAUGAUUGUAUUAUGAGCUUAUGUGAUUUGAUGACCGGAGGUUGUUUGGAUUCCUGGAUGAGAUCACAGACAUGACGAGGAGUCUCGAAAUGGUUGAGACAUAAAGAUUGAUAUAUUUCAAGGUUAUAUUCGGGCACCGGAAUGGUUCUGAAGUGUAUCGGGUAUUUUCUGGAGUACUGGGGGGUUUACCGGAACCCCCCGGGGGGGUUAAUGGGCCUCAUAGGCCUACUGGUGGAAGAGAGGAGGCAAGCCAAGGAGUGGCGCACGCCCUCCUAGCCCAAACCGAAUUGGACUAGGGUUGGGGGGGGGCCUUUCCUUUCUCUCCUCCUCCUCUUUCCCCCUUCUCCGUGUAGGAAUAGGAAAGGGGGGCCGAAUCCUACUUGGAGUAGGACUCCCCCCCUUGGGCGCGCCACCCCUGGCCGGCCUCCUCCUCCCUCCCUACUUUAUAUAUGUGGGGAGGGGGCACCCUAGAACACACAAGUUGAUCUUUUAGCCAUGUACGGUGCCCCCCUCCACAGUUACACACCUCGGUCAUAUCAUCGUAGUGCUUAGGUGAAGCCUUGCUUCAAUAACUUCAUCAUCACCAUCACCACGUCAUCAUGCUGACGGAACUCUCCCUCGGCCUCAACUGGAUCAAGAGUUCGAGGGAUGUCACUGAGCUGAACGUGUGCAAAUCGUGAAGGUGUCGUGUGUUCGGUACUUGGAUCGGUUCGAUCACGAAGACUUUCGACUACAUCAACCGCGUUACUAAACGCUUCCGCUUUCGGUCUAAGAGGGUACAUGGACACACUCUCCCCGCUCGUUGCUAUGCAUCUCAUAGAUAGAUCUUGCGUGAUCAUAGGUAAAUUUUUUGAAAUACUGCGUUCCCAACAGUGGCAUCCGAGCCAGGUCUAUGCGUAGAUGUUAUAUGCACGAGUAGAACACUAGGAGUUGUGGGCGAUAAUAGUCAUACUGCUUACCAGCAUGUCAUACUUUGAUUUGGCGGUAUUGUUGGAUGAAGCGACCCAGACCGACAUUACAUGACCGCGUUCAUGAGAUUGGUUCUACCGCCGUGCUUCGCACACAUGUCUCUAGUGGGUGUCUUUUUCUCCAGCUUUAGUUGAAUCGAGUUUGACUAAGACCGAUCCUUGUUGAAGGUUAAAACAACACACUUGAUGAAAAAUCGUUGUGGUUUUGAUGCGUAGGUAAGAACGGUUCUUGCUAGAAGCCUGUAGCAGCCACGUAAAACUUGCAACAACAAAGUAGAGGACGUCUAACUUGUUUUUGUAGGGCUUGCUGUGAUGUGAUAUGGUCAAGACGUGAUGAUAUAUAAAUUGUUGUAUGAGAUGAUCAUGUUUUGUAACCGUUAUCGGCAACUGGCAGGAGCCAUAUGGUUGUCGCUUUAUUGUAUGAAAUGCAAUCACCAUGUAAUUGCUUUACUUUAUCACUAAGCAGUAGCGAUAGUUGUAGAAGCAAUAGUUGGCGAGACGACAACGAUGCUUCAAUGGAGAUCAAGGUGUCAAGCCGGUGACGAUGGUGAUCAUGACGGUGCUAUGGAGAUGGGGAUCAAAGGCACAAGAUGAUGAUGGCCAUAUCAUAUCACUUAUUUUGAUUGCAUGUGAUGUUUAUCUUUUAUGCACCUUAUUUUGCUUAGUACGGCGGUAGCAUUAUAAGAUGAUCUCUCAUUAAAUUUCAAGGUACAAGUGUUCUCCCUGAGUAUGCACCGUUGCGACAGUUCAUCGUGCCGAGACACCACGUGAUGAUCGGGUGUGAUAAGCUCUACGUUCACAUACAACGGGUGCAAGCCAGUUUUGCACACGCAGAAUACUCGGGUUAGACUUGACGAGCCUAGCAUAUGCAGAUAUGGCCUUGGAACACUGAGAUCGAAAGGUCGAGCGUGAAUCAUAUAGUAGAUAUAAUCAACAUAGUGAUGUUCACCAUUGAAAACUACUCCAUCUCACGUGAUGAUCGGACAUGGUUUAGUUGAUAUGGAUCAUGCGAUCACUUAGAUGAUUAGAGGGAUGUCUAUCUAAGUGGGAGUUCUUAAGUAAUAUGAUUAAUUGAACUUUAAUUUAUCAUGAACUUAGUACCUGAUAGUAUUUUGCAUGUCUAUGUUGUUGUAGAUAAAUGGCAUGUGCUACUGUUCCAUUGAAUUUUAAUGCGUUCCUAGAGAAAGCUAAGUUGAAAGAUUAUGGUAGCAACUACACAGACCGGGUCCGUAACUUGAGGAUUAUCCUCAUUGCUGCACAGAAGAAUUACGUCCUUGGAGCACCGCUAGGUGCAAGGCCUGCUGCAGGAUGAACGUCUGGGAAGCUAAAUCUGAUAACUACUCGAUAGUUCAGUGUGCCAUGCUUUACGGCUUAGAAUCGGGACUUCAAAGACGUUUUGAACAUCAUGGAGCAUAUGAGGUGUUCCAAGAGUUGAAGUUAAUAUUUCAAGCAAAUGCCCGAGUUGAGAGAUAUGAAGUCUCCAACAAGUUCUAUAGCUGCAAGAUGAAGGAGAAUAGUUCUGUCAGUGAACACAUACUCAGAAUGUCUGGGGUACCAUAACCACUUGACUCAGCUGGGAGUAAUCUUCCGGGUGAUAGUGUUAUUGACAGAGUUCUUCACUCACUGCCACCAAGCUAUAAAGGCUUCAUGAUGAACUAUAAUAUGCAAGAGAUGGAAAAGACAAUUCCCGAGCUCUUCGCAAUGCUUAAGGCUGCGGAGGUAGAAAUCAAGAAGGAGCAUCAAGUGUUGAUGGUUAACAAGACCACUGGUUUCAUAAAAAAGGGCAAAGGUAAGAAGGGGAACUACAAGAAGAAUAGCAAGCAAGUUGCUACUCCCGGGAAGAAGCCCAAGUCUGGACCUAAGCUUGAAAUUGGGUGCUUCUACUGCAAAGGGACUGGUCACUGGAAGCGGAACUGCCCCAAGUAUUUGGCGGAUAAGAAAGAUGGCAAAGUGAAAGAUAUAUUUGAUAUACAUGUUAUUGAUGUGUACCUUAUUAAUGCUCGUAGUAGCGCCUGGGUAUUUGAUAUUGGUUCUGCUCAUAUUUGCACCUCGAAACAGGGGCUACGGAUUAAGUGAAGAUUGGCUAAGGACGAGGUGACGAUGCGCGUGGGAAAUGGUUCCAAAGUCGAUGUGAUCGACAUCGGCAUGCUACUUCUACAUCUACCUUCAGGAUUAGUUUUAGACCUGAAUAAUUGUUAUUUGGUGCCAGCGUUAAGCAUUAACAUUAUAUCCGGAUCUUGUUUGAUGCAAGACGGUUAUUCAUUUAAAUCAGAGAAUAAUGGUUGUUCUAUUUAUAUGAGUAAUAUCUUUUAUGGUCAUGCACCCUUGAUGCAUGGUCUAUUUUUAUUGAAUCUCGAUAGUAGUGAUACACAUAUUCAUAGUAUUGAAGCCAAAAGAUAUAAGUUUAAUAACGAUAGUGCAACUUAUUUGUGUCACUGCCGUUUAGGUCAUAUUGGUGUAAAGCGCAUGAAGAAACUUCAUGCUGAUGGGCUUUUGGAAUCACUUGAUGCUUGUGAACCAUGCCUCAUGGGCAAGAUGACUAAGACUCCGUUCUCCGGAACAAUGGAGCGAGCAACAGACUUGUUGAAAAUAAUACAUACUCAUGAUGUAUGCGGUCCGAUGAGUGUUGAGGCUCGCGGCGGGUAUCAUUAUUUUCUGACCUUCACAAAUGAUUUGAGUAGAUAUGGGUAUAUCUACUUGAUGAAACAUAAGUCUGAAACAUUUGAAAAGUUGAAAGAAUUUCAGAGUGAAGUGGAAAAUCAUCGUAACAAGAAAAUAAAGUUUCUACGAUCUGAUCGUGGAGGUGAAUAUUUGAGUUACGAGUUUGGUCUUCAUUUGAAACAAUGCGGAAUAGUUUCGCAACUCACGCCACCCGGAACACCACAGCGUAAUGGUGUGUCCAAACGUCGCAACUGCACUUUAUUAGAUAUGGUGCGAUCUAUGAUGUCUCUUACUGAUUUACCGCUAUUGUUUUGGUGUUAUGCUUUAGAGACGGCCGCAUUCACAUUAAAUAGGGCACCAUCAAAAUCCGUUGAGACAACGCCUUAUGAACUGUGGUUUGGCAAGAAACCCAAGUUGUCGUUUCUUAAAGUUUGGGGCUGCGAUGCUUAUGUGAAAAAGCUUCAACCUGAUAAGCUCGAACCCAAAUCGGAGAAAUGUGUCUUCAUAGGAUACCCAAAGGAGACUGUUGGGUACACCUUCUAUAACAGAUCCGAAGGCAAGACGUUUGUCGCUAAAUUCGUAAACUUUCUAGAGAAGGAGUUUAUCUCGAAAGAAGUGAGUGGGAGGAAAGUAGAACUUGAUGAGGUAACUGUACCUGCUCCCUUAUUGGAAAGUAGUAUAUCACAGAUACAGGUUUCUAUGAUACCUACACCAAUUAGUGAGGAAGAUAAUGAUGAUGAUCAUGAAACUUUAGAUCAAGUUGUUACUGAACCUCGUAGAUCAACCAGAGUAAGAUCCGCACCAGAGUGGUACGGUAAUCCUAUUCUGGAAGUCAUGUUACUAGACCAUGAUGAACCUACGAACUAUGAAGAAGCGAUGGUGAGCCCAGAUUCCGCAAAAUGGCUUGAGGCCAUGAAAUCUGAGAUGGGAUCCAUGUAUGAGAACAAAGUGUGGACUUUGGUUGACUUGCCCGAUGAUCGGCAAGCAAUUGAUAAUAAAUGGAUCUUCAAGAAGAAGACUGACGCUGACGGUAAUGUUACUGUCUACAAAUCUCGACUUGUCGCGAAAGGUUUUCGACAAGUUCAAGGGGUUGACUACGACGAGACCUUCUCACCCGUAGCGAUGCUUAAGUCUGUCCGAAUCAUGUUAGCAAUUGCCGCAUUUUAUGAUUAUGAAAUAUAGUAGAUGGAUGUCAAAACUGCAUUCCUGAAUGGAUUUCUAGAACAAGAGUUGUAUAUGAUGCAACCGGAAGGUUUUGUCGAUCCAAAGGGAGCUAACAAAGUGUGCAAGCUCCAGCGAUCCAUUUAUGGACUGGUGCAAGCCUCUCGGAGUUGGAAUAAAUGCUUUGAUAGUGUGAUCAAAGCAUUUGGUUUUAUACAGACUUUUGGAGAAGCCUGUAUUUACAAGAAAGUGAGUGGGAGCUCUGUAGCAUUUUUGAUACUAUAUGUAGAUGACAUAUUGCUGAUCGGAAAUGAAAGACCUCGGUGAAGCUGCUUACAUAUUGGGCAUUAAGAUCUAUAGAGAUAAAUCAAGACGCUUAAUUGGACUUUCACAAAGCACAUACCUUGACAAAGUUUUGAAGAAGUUCAAAAUGGAUCAAGCACAGAAAGGGUUCUUGCCUGUGUUACAAGGUGUGAAGUUGAGUAAGACUCAAUGCCCGACCACUACAGAAGAUAGAGAAAAGAUGAAAGAAGUUCCCUAUGCUUCAGCCAUAGGAUCUAUCAUGUAUGCAAUGCUGUGUACCAGACCUGAUGUGUGCCUUGCUAUAAGUUUAGCAGGGAGGUACCAAAGUAAUCCAGGAGUGGAUCACUGGACAGCAGUCAAGAACAUCCUGAAAUACCUGAAAAGGACUAAGGAUAUGUUUCUCGUUUAUGGAGGUGACAAAGAGCUCAUCGUAAAUGGUUACAUUGAUGCAAGCUUUGAGAUUGAUCCUGACGAUUCUAAAUUGCAAACCGGAUACGUGUUUACAUUGAACGGUGGAGCUGUCAGUUGGUGCAGUUCUAAACAAAGCAUUGUGGCAGGAUCUACAUGUGAAGCGGAGUACAUAGCUGCUUCGGAAGCAGCAAACGAAGGAGUCUGGAUGAAGGAGUUCAUAUCCGAUCUAGGUGUCAUACCUAGUGCAUCGGGUCCAAUGAAAAUCUUUUGUGACAAUACUCGUGCAAUUGCUUUGGCGAAGGAAUCCAGAUUUCACAAAAGAACCAAGCACAUCAAGAGGCCCUUCAAUUCCAUUCGGGAUUUAGUCCAAGUGGGAGACAUAGAAAUUUGCAAGAUACAUACGGAUCUGAAUGUAGCAGACCCGUUGACUAAGCCUCUUCCACGAGCAAAACAUGAUCAGCACCAAGGCUCCAUGGGUGUUAGAAUCAUUACAGUGUAAUCUAGAUUAUUGACUCUAGUGCAAGUGGGGGAUUGAAGGAAAUAUGCCCUAGAGGCAAUAAUAAAGUUAUUAUUUAUUUCCUUAUAUCAAGAUAAAUGUUUAUUAGUCAUGCUAGAAUUGUAUUAACCGGGAACAUAAUACAUGUGUGAAUAUAUAGACAGACAGAGUGUCACUAGUAUGCCUCUACUUGACUAGCUUGUUGAUCAAAGAUGGUUAUGUUUCCUAACCAUAGACAUGUGUUGUCAUUUGAUUAACGGGAUCACAUCAUUAGGAGAAUGAUGUGAUUGACAUGACCCAUUCCGUUAGCUUAGCACACGAUCGUUUAGUAUAUUGCUAUUGCUUUCUUCAUGACUUAUACAUGUUCCUAUGACUAUGAGAUUAUGCAACUCCCGUUUACCGGAGGAACACUUUGUGUGCUACCAAACGUCACAACGUAACUGGGUGAUUAUAAAGGAGCUCUACAGGUGUCUCCAAAGGUACAUGUUGGGUUGGUGUAUUUUGAGAUUAGGAUUUGUCACUCCGAUUGUCGGAGAGGUAUCUUUGGGUCCUCUCGGUAAUGCACAUCACUUAAGCCUUGCAAGCAUUGCAACUAAUGAGUUAGUUGUGAGAUGAUGUAUUACGGAACGAGUAAAGAGACUUGCCGGUAAUGAGAUUGAACUAGGUAUUGAGAUACCGACGACCGAAUCUCGGGCAAGUAACAUACUGAUGACAAAGGGGACAACGUAUGUUGUUAUGCGGUCUGACCGAUAAAGAUCUUCGUAGAAUAUGUGGGAGCCAAUAUGAGCAUCCAUGUUCCGCUAUUGGUUAUUAACUGGAGAUGUGUCUCGGUCAUGUCUACAUUGUUCUUGAACCCGUAGGGUCCGCACGCUUAACGUUACGAUGACAGUUUCAUUAUGAGUUUAUAUAUUUUGAUGUACCGAAGGUUGUUCGGAGUCCUGGAUAUGAUCACGAACUUGAUGAGGAGUCUCUAAAUGGUUGAGACAUAAAGAUCGAUAUAUUGGACGACUAUAUUUGGACAUCGGAAAGGUUCCGGGUGAGAUUGGGACAAUACUAGAUCACCGGGAGGUUAUCGGAACCCCCCGGGAGGUAUAUGGGCCUUAUUGGGCCUUAGUGGAAAGGAGGGGAAAGGAGCAAGGGAGGGGGCGCGCCCCCCAAGCCCAAUCAGAAUUGGGAGGGGGGCCGGCCCCCCCUUUCCUUCCUCCCUCUUUCCUCUUCCUUCCCUCUCCUACUCCUAAUAGGAAAAGGGGGAGUCCUACUCCCGGUGGGAGUUAGACUCCCCCCCUUGGCCGGCCCCCUCCUCCACUCCUUUAUAUACGGAGGGGGGGGCACCCCAUAGACACAACAAUUGAUCCCUUGGAUCUCUUAGCCGUGUGCGGUGCCCCCCUCCACCAUAGUCUACCUCGAUAAUACUGUAGCGGUGCUUAGGCGAAGCCCUACGACGGUAGAACAUCACGAUCAUCACCACGCCGUCGUGCUGACAGAACUCUUCCCCGACACUUUGCUGGAUCGGAGUCCGGGGAUCGUCAUCGAGCUGAACGUGUGCUAGAACUCGGAGGUGCCGUAGUUUCGGUGCUUGAUCGGUCGGGCCGUGAAGACGUACGACUACAUCAACCGCGUUGUUAUAACGCUUCCGCUAUCGGUCUACGAGGGUACGUGGACAACACUCUCCCCUCUUGUUGCUAUGCAUCACCAUGAUCUUGUGUGUGCGUAGGAAUUUUUUUGAAAUUACUACGUUCCCCAACAAACGGCACCAACUUCGCCAAGGGCGCGCUCGAGCAAUACUGCUCCGUCUCCGGCAUCCGCCUCGACCUGGCCUCCGUGGCACAUCCGCAGUCCAACUGGUAGGUCGAGCGGGCCAACGGACUCAUCCUGUCCGGCAUCAAGCCGCGACUCGUCGAACCACUCGUCCGCUCACGCGGCAGUUGGCUCGAUGAGUUGCCCGCGGUCCUCUGGAGUCUGCGCACAACACCAAACUGGUCGACGGGUUCACCCUGUUCUUCCUCGUCUACGGAUCCGAAGCCGUCAUCCCGACCGAUGUCGAGUUCGACUCAGCGCGCAUCACGAUGUACACCAAAGCAGAAGCAAGAGAAGCACGCGAAGACGGUGUUGACCUGCUCGAAGAGGCGCACCUUCUGGCACUUAGCCACUCGGCUAUCUACCAGCAAGGCCUGAGGCACUACCACAGCAAGAAGAUCAAGCAUCUCGCAUUCCGCGAAGGUGACCUCGUCCUCCGACUCGUCCAAGAGCAGGCAGGCCAGCACAAGCUGUCCUCUCCAUGGGAAGGCCCGUUCAUCGUGAGCAGGACUUUGCGCGACCGCAACGCCUACUACCUCAUCGAUGCGCGCAAAUCGAAGAAGCACAAGAGGGACACCGCCGGCGAAGAAACGACCCGGCCGUGGAACGCGGAACUCCUCCGUCCGUUUUACAGUUAGCCGCACGAAUGUACGUAUCAACGCCUUUUGUAAGCAUAUGAAAUUAUGGGGUCCCUGAACGAGACUCGGGGGCUGCCUUUUGCCGACCAAUUUAUUGCGUCCAUAUUUCACACCACUUUACUACCGAACCCGGCCGCCGGCUCGACUAGCUCGACCCGGGGGCUCGGGGACUGGCCGCCUUGAUCAUCACCCCGCCGCUUUACUUGGUGAUUCCUGAUAAAGUUAGGAUGCCGCGGCCCCCCACUUCGCCCUAAAACCGCAGAUCCAGCUCUGGCUGAUGGCAGGCAAGCACAACGGGCCAAAGCUCCUUACGAUUCACACACUAAGUCAAAGCCGCCGGGUCGACCAACCCGGCCCGACGCUCAUCAACUAAGUUAGCCGCACGGCCGGCUUCUCACCAACUGGCCAAGCCGAAUUGCCGCCAGCCGGCCCAGUGGGUGUUUCGCUCGCGCUGAACGCUUCUAAGGACCCAACUCCUGCGCUCGCCUCUCGAGGAACCAAACUCCUUGUCAUGGACCGGAGCCUCGGCCGUCUGACUCGCAGGAGGGAAGUUUCAGAGAAGGGGGAACACAUGAAAUAAGUUCGCAGAAAGCAAAAGGCAAAAAGCAAAUAAACACUCACAACAUUUACAGAUUAAUGUUUCAAGCAAAGGCCCACGGCCCGAGUUCAUUACACGCUGAAAACCCCCAGUGGGUGGGUGGACCUGCUACUUAAUAGAAUUUGCUACAAAGAUUCUCAGGCAUUCCCAGCGCCGCGUCGCGACAUCGACGGCUCCCCCCGGCCGGCCUCCGGGUCCAGUGAAGCACCGGUGUCCCCUUCGGCCUCCGCAUCACCGUAGACGCCCGUCUCCUCUGAGCUGCCCUCCGGGUCACGAAGAAGCAAGCCGUAGUCGCCAUCCACGACCACGCCGUCUUCCGUCCGCUCCGGAUGGAACUCGUCGUGGAAGGCGAACUCGGCAAUAUAGCUGGCCCAGGAGGCGAUCCGGAUGGCCUGCUCCUGCAGCAACUGCUCUGAGCCAGCGCGCUGACCCAUCAGCGCGUCCAGCUGAAGAUCCGGAUGCCAAGACAACGCGAUCCGGAGCGCCAUCUUAGCACCAGCCCGGGCGGCGAAAACGCGCUAGUCGCUAAGGUGAUCCGGGCCCAUCUCCAACCAGCGUGCCAGAUGCGAGAAGCUGCGCGGAUGGACGGAAUCCGGCCACAAGGCCGCCGUCAUCGCGGUGCCGGCUCGGGACAGCCGCUCCAUCUGCGUCCCCAAGGCUCACAUCCGGGCCUCAGCAGCGCCAAUGAUCUCCGGGAAGGUCCAGGCCGUCAGCGGAUCCGUCCCGGACCCAACAACGCCGGUCGGAUCGUGCUGAUAGCGGACGGCCUCCUCCGACAGCCGCUGCGUCUCCGAAAAGGCCCCUGUAGCCAAAGAAGAAGCAAGUCAGAAGAGCAACAAAGAAGAAAGGGCCGGGUCCCGACCCCGCUAACAACGAAGAAGGAGCACUUACUGGAGAAGGACUCUUCCAGGUGCUGCGUCUCGAGCAACGUACCACGUCGCUCCCGCUCCAAGACACGGUCCCGCUCCCCGAGCGCCUUCUCCAGGCCGACCGCCUUAGCAAGGGCAGCCUUCAGCUCGGUGUCCUUGUCUUCGGCCGCCUUCUCGGCCGCCUCACGACGACGAGCCUCGGCCUGGCGGACCUCCUUAGCCGCGGUGGCCUGCUCCCGCAGACGCUCCACCUCGGCCUGGAGCCGGCCCUUGUCGUCGACCAGCUGGCCGUGCUGCUGGUCUGCCUCGACCAGGGCCCGCCUUAAGAAGCUCAACCUCGGCCUCGAGGCGGCUCUUGUGACCCGCCAGCUGCUCGUGCACCCGGUUGGCCUCAUCAAGAGACCGUCGGGCCGCGGCCGCCUCCGCCCUCGCCUGCGCUGCCUCGACGCCGAGACGGCCAGAAUCAGCAACAAGCUGGUCAUAGUAAUGACCAGCUCGGAGCAGCCGGGUCCGCCAAGACAGCACAUCGGCUGCAAAGAAAAAGAACUCAGCAGAAAGAAAGAAUAAGACAAGACUUAAGAUUUGGCCCAACUAUUACACAGUUGGCCCGAAUCUCGGGGGCUACACCCAGUGGGUGCGCUAGCACGCGUCCACUAGAAGGAAGAGCACAUCAAAGUACCUGCGGCGUCGCGAAGCUCCUCCUCCUUGGCAGCAAGCUGCUCCCUGAGCUCCCGAUGCUUGCCUAGGAGCCGGUUGUAGGCGGCAACCCGGAAGGCGUCAAGGUGCUGAAGAGAAGACCAAAGUCAUCACAAGGCCAACGUUCCUAAGGUUCGACCUAACUACUAUAUAGUUGGCCCGAACCUCGGGGGCUACACCUAGUGGGUGCGCUGGCGCACCCCCACAGAGAUGAAACCACAAAAGAACAAGAAGAAAGAAAAACUUACCAAGAUGGCGCGCUCCAAUUCGCGCGUUCGCUCCACCUCGGCCUGGGCAAAGGCCUCAAGACGCUCCAUCCCACCUCGAAGGUGAUGGCUAACGGCGUCCAGCGCCGCCUCCUCCUGGGUCUGGGGCCCAAAGACGGUCGCGCCCCCGCUUUGCGCGGGCUGCGGCAUGGCGGCUCGGCGCCCUCCCGGGCGGAGCACCAAGGCACGCCCACUGCUGGCCGCCUGUGACGCGGCCAGCACCUCCUCCGACGCCCCUCCCGGUGUCAGAACAUCCUCGGACGCUGGGACGCCCUGCGUCGCCACCUCAGGCACCGCCGCCUGCGGUGCCUCCUCCACGACCGGCGGCGUUUCCGGCACCGCCACCUGCGGCGCCUCCUCCAAAGCAACGCCGCCUCCACCGUCGUCGGCCCCCGCGCGCUCGACCAUGUCGGCCCGCGGCGGGGUUUCGUCCCCCACCUCCAUGACCUCCUGGUCGAGGACCACCACCUCAGCCUAGCCUCCGUGGCCGCGCUCCCUCAACAUCGACGGCUCAAAAACUGUCACCGCAACCAUCAUGCCCUGCGGCAUCUCGCGCCAGGCCGGCUCCGCGCCGCCUUGCGCCCAUGCCGCCGCCGCGUCAGUCCAAGCCCGGACCGACACCGCCUCCAACUCCACUUCGGCCCGGUUCCUGUCCCGCCAGGCCAAGGCCUCGGCGUCGUCCGGGUCCAGGCCGAGGUCCGAGUCGCCCCGUCCCUCCUCCCCGGCCAGGCCGGUGAGGUCGGACCGGCUCCUGCGGAACGCGGUCCCCUCCGUGGCCGCGGCCUCCACCACCGCCUUCGCCAGUGCGAUCGGCGACCUGAAGAAAAAAGAAGAAUAAGCAAGCAAAAGACAAGGCUGGCCCAAGAAAUCCAGGCGCAAGCAAGGAGCAAGACUUACCCCGACAAGACCGGGACCGGCAUCGGCUUCGCGCGCCUCUUCUUGGCCGGCCUCCUAGGCUCAGCCGGAUCCGUCGUGCGCUUCAGGGCCCGGGGUCGCGGCGCGACGCUGUCCUUUUCGUGCGGGCGGCUCAGCGCCGCCCCAUGAGAGGACCUGGCUCCGCCCUCCUCGCCGCCUCCCCCGCCCAACGCCGCUACACCAACAACCGGCGUCAGUGUUGCCUAUGCCGCAACGCGCCCAAAUGAUUCAAGACAAAUGAAGAAGAAAAAGAUUUGAAGCUUACCCGCGCGACGCCCAGCGCCGGUGUCGGACUCGGCCACCUCCUUGCCGCCGUGAGCCGCAGGCUCCUCUGGUGCCACCGGCGCCACCUGCGACGGCGCCCGGGUGUAAGGGUGCCAGCUCACAUUCAGAAGAAUCUCCCGUGACGCAUCGGGACGAAUGAGAAGAUGCGCGGCGGAAAAAUAAGAAGAACAGACGCUCACCUGCGGCACCGGGUUUGCCUGGCUGUACGGCGCCUUGCCGAAUCGCGAGUCCUCUCCAAGGUUGGACUUGGAGAUGUCGUUCACGCCUCGUGUGACCUGCUCCGCAGAAAGCCACGUCGACCCCAUCCGGUUGGGGUCCUGAAGCCCGAUCAUCUCGCCGAUGAGGCAGGAGCGCCUCUGAAGCGGGAGAACCCGGCGGGUGAUGAACGCGACAAGGAGGUCGGUGCCGAUGAGUCCCUCCUACGUCCUCAUCACCAUGACCCGCUCGCAGAGAUUGACGGUCUCUUGCGACGGGCGCCGGAGCAAGUAGCCCCAGUUCAUUUUUGCCCGCGGCGGCAUGACGGCGAAAGGGGGAAGAUUGAUGUGGUCCGCGCCAUGGUUGCGGACGUAGAAGAAGGAGUUCUGCCACUUCUUGGCAGAAUCCUCGAGCGGGAUCUUGGGAAAGUCCACCCCCGACCACUUCGAGAUGACGGCAGCCCCGCAGUCGGCGAACUCUCCGGCCGACGGGCCCUGCUGCUUCAGGGAGAAGAAGCGCGCCCAGAUAUCGAUGGUCGCCUCGACCCCCAGGUACCCCUCGCACAGGGUCACGAAGCCGGAGAGCUGGACGAUGGCGCCGACGCCAAGGUGGUGCGGCUGGAGCCCGAAGAACUCCAGGAACGCCCAGAAGAAAGUGCUCGCCCGCAGCCCGAAGCCACGCUCGAAAUGCGUGAGGAAGACGACGGGCUCCUGCCCCUCGGGCCGGGGCCUCUGCUCGCCGUAUGGCAGACGGACACCGACGUCCGUCUCCCGCGGCAGGCGCCGAGAGUACCGAAGGUAGGUGAUGUCGUCGGGGGUGACGGUGAGCCCAUCCACGAGCCCGAAGGCAGCGACAUCGCCGGAAGAAGAGAAGGAAGAAGGAUGACGGAGAAAGUCUCUGCUCAAGGCUGCGGGUGCAGCUGUGCAUCGGUGGCGAGAAGCAGAGCGAGAGCAGGGGACAGGAGGGCGCGAGCGAGAAUAAUGUCCGCCGCCCCCUUGCCCCCCUCAAUUUAUAACCCUCGGUUCAAACAUGGGGGAGUGGGAUCAUCUACACGCGCUCGUUCCACUACCCCGCAAUAAGUGCGCACGUACGCAUGCACUAACUGCGGGGGGAAGUGCAACCGGCCCCCAGACCAUACGAUGGGAUGAGACCUCAAUCACCGAUGACCAAGACUAUAGUGCCCCCGCCCAUGCCCGUGGUCAGCCGGAGCGUGGCAACAGUGCCCCUUACCUACCCGCUGACCAGGGCUGGCACGGGAACAGUGUUCCCACCCUCACCACUGACGACAUCAAGAGGCGGCCUGACGGAGAACACUGUGCGUGGCUUGACUCGGCCACGCCAUGACGACCAACAAGACGGCGCACAGUCCCCCUAGGCAUGCGGGGCCCGCACCUAGGGGAACCCGGCGAACCACAAGCCCCCGAGCGGGACCCAGCCCGGCACCCCGGACACCGACAACACAGACCCACCGACUCAGCAUAUUACCAUUGUAACCCUGGGUGGGUUGAUCUAUAAAACCCCCCAGGAGUCCACGCCUACGGAGAGACACAUCAUGAUAUGUAAGAUCCCCGGCAUGCAAAGCCACACCACAUAGGACUAGCCACUACAUAGCAACACCGGAGGAAAGGAGCAGCCCGAGCCUUGGCCAACCUCCUUCCUCCUCCAUACAGCUCCAGGAGCGACAUUGUACUAUCGACCAUCCAACUAAACUCGGCAGGACUAGGGGUGUUAUCUCUCCGGAGAGCCCUGAACCUGGGUAUGUCCGGCGUCCCGCGCCCGCGCAUAUCAACCUCGCCUCCGAAGCCCACCAGCGCCCUCGAGCCUCCUCCUCUCUUUAGCCAUCCCUUGGCAUCUGCUGUGAGCCCACCACGACAAGACCCAUCCGUUAGCUUAGCAUAUUGAUCGUUAAGUUUUAUUGCUAUUGCUUUCUUCAUGACUUAUACAUGUUCCUCUGACUAUGAGAUUAUGCAACUCCCGAAUACCGGAGGAACACCUUGUGUGCUAUCAAAUGUCACAACGUAACUGGGUGAUUAUAAAGAUGCUCUAUAGGUGUCUUUGAAGGUGUUUGUUGAGUUGGCAUAGAUCAAGAUUAGGAUUUGUCACUCUGGUUUUCAGAGAGGUAUCUCUGGGCCCUCUCGGUAAUGAUCAUCACUAUAAGCCUUGCAAGCAAUGUGACUAAUGAGUUAGUUACGGGAUGAUGCAUUAUGGAACAAGUAAAGAGACUUGUCGGUAACGAGAUUGAACUAGCUAUGAUGAUACCGACGAUCAAAUCUCGGGCAAGUAACAUACCGAUGACAAAGGGAAUAACGUAUGUUGUUAUGCGAUUUGAGAUAAAGAUCUUCGUAGAAUAUGUAGGAGCCAAUAUGAGCAUCCAGGUUCUGCUAUUGGUUAUUGACCAGAGAUGUGUCUCGAUCAUGUCUACAUAGUUCUCGAACCCGUAGGGUCAGCACGCUUAAUGUUCAUUGACGAUUUGUAUUAUGAGUUUAUGUGAUUUGAUGACCAAAGGUUAUUCGGAGUCCCGGAUGAGAUCAUGGACAUGACGAGGAGUCUCAAAAUGGUCGAGACGUAAAGGUCAAUAUAUUGGAAGGCUAUAUUCGGACAUCGGAAAGGUUCCGAGUGAUUCGGGUAUUUUUUGGAGUACCGAGAGUUAUGGGAAUUCGCCGGGGGAAGUAGUGGGCCUUAAUAGGCCAUACAGGAAAGGAGAGAAGGGCCUCAAGGGGUGGCCACGCGCCCCCCCAUGGGCUGGUCUGAAUUGGACUAGUAGGGGGCGGCGCCCCCCUCCUUCCUUCUCCCCUCAUCCCCCUUCCCUCCUUCUCCUACUAGUAAUAGGAAAGAGGAGGGGAAUCCUACUUGGACUGGGGAGUCCUAGUAGGAUUCCCCACACCUGGUGCGCCCUCCUAGGGCCGGCCACCUCUUCCCUCCCCUCCUUUAUAUACGUGUCCAGGGGGCACCCCAGAGACACACAAGUUGAUUUCUUAGCCGUGUGCGGUGCCCCCCUCCAUAGAUUUCCACCUCGGUUAUAUUGUCGUAGUGCUUAGGCAAAGCCCUGCGUCGGUAACAUCAUCAUCACUGUCAACACACCGUCAUGCUGACAAAACUCUCCCUCGGCCUCAGCUGGAUCUAGAGUUCGAGGGACGUCACCGAGCUGAGAUCACGGAGGUGCCAUGCAUUCGGUACUUGAUCAGUUGGAUUGCGAAGACGUUCAACUACAUCAACCAUGUUACUUUACGCUUCCACUUUCGGUCUACGAGGGUACGUAGACACACUCUCCCUGCUCGUUGCUAUGCUUCUCCUAGAUAGAUCUUGCGUGAUCGUAGGCAAUUUUUUUGAAAUACUACGUUCCUCAACAAUGCCCAAUAUGUAAGUAGCUUUACCGAGGUCUUUCUUUGAAAAAAUCCUUUAAAAUACUCCUUUAUGCUUUCCAGAAAAUUCUACAUCAUUUUCGAUCAACAAUAUGUCAUUCACAUAUACUUAUCAGAAAGGUUGUAGUGCUCCCACUCACUUUCUUGUUAACACAGGCUUCACCGCAAGUCUGUAUAAAACUAUAUGCUUUGAUCAACUCAUCAAAGCAUAUAUUCCUACUCCGAGAUGCUUGUACCAGUCCGUAGAUGGAUCGCUGGAGCUUGCACACUUUGUUAGCACCUUUAGGAUUGAGAAAACCUUCUGGUUGCAUCAUAUACAGCUCUUCUUUAAUAAAUCCAUUAAGGAAUGAAGUUUUGACAUCCAUUUGCCAGAUUUCAUAAAAUGCGGCAAUUUCUAACAUGAUUGGGAUAGACUUUGAGCAUCGGUACGAGUGAUAAAAUCUCAUCGUAGUCAACACCUUGAACUUGUUGAUAACCCACAAGUAUAGGGGAUCAAUUGUAGCCUCUUUAUAUAAGUAAGAGUGUCGAACCCAACGAGGAUCUAAAGGUAAACAAAUAUUCCCUCAAGUUCUAUCGACCACCGAUACAACUCUACGCACGCUUAACAUUUGCUUUACCUAGAACAAGUAUGAAACUAGAAGUACUUUGUAGGUGUUGUUGGAUAGGUUUGCAAGAAUAUAAAGAGCACGUAAAUAAAAACUAGGGGCUGUUUUAAGUAAACAAGCAAUAAAGUUAGUAUAGCGAGUGUGGAAAAGUGGUGGUAGGAGUUGUGAAAUUGUCCCUAAGCAAUUGACUACUUUACUAGACCGAUAUCAAGUUUUAUGUGGGAGAGGCCACUGCUAGCAUGUCAUCCCUGACUUGGAAUUCUUUGCACUUAUGGUUGGAACUAUUACCAAGCAUCCGCAACUACUAACGUUCAUUAAGGUAAAACCCAACCAUAGCAUUAAGAUAUAUUGGUCCCCCUUCAAUCCCGUAUGCAUCAAUUUCUAUGCUAGGUUGAAGCUUCUGUCACUCUUGCUCUCCAAUACAUAGUCCCAUCAACAUACAACUAACCCUAUGGUGUGAUCCACGCGCGCGCUCAUAUGAUGGGUACCAAAGGACAACAACCUAACCACAAGCAAUUUAAACCAAUCAUAGCAAUUCACCAAUUACCGAUAAGACAACGAAAAUCUACUUAGACAUCAUAGGAUGGCAACACAUCAUUGGAUAAUAAUAUGAAGCAUAAAGCACCAUGUUCAAAUAGAGGGUACAGCGGUUUGCGGGAGAGUGGACCAUUGUAGAUAGAUGGGGGAAGGUGAUGGAGAUGUUGGUGAAGAUGAUGGAGGUGUUGGUGCAGAUUGCGGUGACGAUGAUGGCCCCGACGGUGUUCCGACGCCACCGGGAGAGAGGGGGAGAGAGACCCCCUCCUUCUCCUUCUUCCUUGGCCUUCUCCCUAGGUGGGAGAAUGGUUCUCCCUCUGGUCCUUGGUCUCCAUGGUGUGGGAGGGGCGAGAGCCCCUCCGAGAUUGGAUCUGUCUCUUUGUCUCUCUCUGUUUCUGCGCUCUGGAUUCUGCCCUUUAACCGUUUCUUUUAUAACCGGAGAUCCGUAACACCGAUUGGAUUGAAAUUUGAACACGAUUUUUAUUCGGAUAUUAGCUUUCUUGUGGCGAAAGAAGGCUCCAACCGCCUUACGGGGUGUCCACGAGGGUCAGGGGCGCGCCCCCUGCCUCGUGGCCCCCUCGGGCAUCGUCUCACGUUGAUUCCACUUCCCAAAAUUCAUAAAUAUUCCAAAAAAAUCUCCGUUAGUUUUUAUUCCGUUUGGACUCUGUUUGAUAUGAAUUUUCUGCCAAACAAAAAACGUGCAACAAACAGGAACUGGCACUGGGCACUGGAUCAACUGUUAGUCCCAAAAAUAGUAUAAAAAGUUGCGAAAAGUAUGUAAAAGUUGUAGAAUAUUGGCAUGGAACAAUCAAAAAUUAUAGAUACGACGGAGACGUAUCACUUGUCGAAAAAACUUUUUGCGACAAUUCGAGCUUUUGUAGAUAGUAACACUACUAUUAGCGUCCGUCUUCCUCUUGAAGAUCCAUUUAUUUUCAAUGGCUCGCCGAUCAUCGGGCAAGUCAAUCAAAGUCCAUACUUUGUUCUCAUACAUGGAUCCUAUCUCAUAUUUCAUGGCCUCAAGACAUUUAUCGGAAUUUGGGCUCAUCAUCACUUCCUCAUAGUUCGUAGGUUCGUCAUGGUCUAGUAACAUGACUUCCAGAACAGGAUUACCAUACCACCCUGGUGUUGACCAUACUCUGGUUGACCUACGAGGUUUGGUAGUAACUUGAUCCGAAGUUUCAUGAUCAUUAUCAUUAGCUUCCUCACUAGUUGGUGCAGGCAUCAUGGGAACGGUUUUCUGUGAUGAGAUACUUUCCAAUUUGAGAGAAGGUACAUUUACCUCAUCAAGUUCUACUUUCAUCCAACUCACUUCUUUCGGGAGAAACUCCUUCUCUAGAAAGGAUCCAUUCUUAGCAACAAAUAUCGUGCCUUCGGAUCUGUGAUAGAAGUUGUACCCAACAAUUUCCUUUGGGUAUCCUAUGAAGACGUAUUUCUACGAUUUGGGUUCGAGCUUAUCAGGCUGAAGCUUUUUCACAUAAGCAUUGCAACCCCAAACUUUAAGAAAUGACAGCUUAGGUUUCUUGCCAAACCAUAGUUCAUAUAGUGUCAUCUCAACAGAUUUAGAUGGUGCCCUAUUUAACGUGAAUGCAGCUGUCUCUAGUGCAUAACCCUAAAACGAUAGUGGUAAAUCAGUAAGAGACAUCAUAGAUCGUACCAUAUCUAAUAAAGUACGGUUACGACAUUUGGACACACCAUUACGCUGUGGUGUUCCAGGUGGCGUGAGUUGUGAAACUAUUCCACAUUGUUUUAAAUGAGACCAAACUCGUAACUCAAAUAUUCGCCUCUGCAAUCAGAUCAUAAAAACUUUAUUUUCUUGUUAUGAUGAUUUUCCACUUCACUCUGAAAUUCGUUAAACUUUUCAAAUGUUUCAGACUUGUGUAUCAUUAAGUAGAUAUACCCAUAUCUGCUCAAAUCAUCUGUGAAGGUCAGAAAAUAAUGAUACCCACCGCGAGCCUCCACACUCAUCGGACCGCAUACAUCGGUAUGUAUAAUUUCCAAUAAGUCAGUAGAUCGCUCCAUUGUUCUGGAGAACAGAGUCUUAGUCGUCUUGCCCAUGAGGCAUGGUUCGCAAGUAUCAAGUGAUUCAUAAUCAAGUGAUUCCAAAUGCCCAUCAGCAUGGAGUUUCUUCAUGCGCUUUACACCAAUAUGACCUAAAUGGCAGUGCCACAAACAUGUUGCACUAUCAUUAUUAACUUUGCGUCUUUUGGCAUCAAUAUUAUCAAUAUGUGUAUCACUGUGAUCGAGAUUCAAUAAACCAUUUACAUUGGAUGUAAGACCAUAGAAGGUUUUAUUCAUGUAAACAGAACCACAAUUAUUCUCUGACUUAAAUGAAUAACUGUAUCGCAAUAAACAUGAUCCAAUCAUAUUCAUGCUCAAUGAAAACACCAAAUAACAUUUAUUUAGGUCCAAUACUAAUCCCGAAGGUAGAGGGAGUGUGCAAUGGUGAUCUUAUCAACCUUUGGAAUCAUUUCCAACACACAUCGUCACCUCUCCCUCAACUAGUCUUUGUUCAUUUUGUAACUCCUAUUUCGAGUUACUAAUCAUAGCAACUGAAUGAGUAUCAAAUACCCAGGGGCUACUAUGAACACUAGUAAAGUACACAUAAAUAACAUGUAUAUCAUAUAUACUUUUGUUCACUGUGCCAUCCUUCUUAUCUACCAAGUAUUUGGGGAAGUUACGCUUCCAGUGAACAUUUCCUUUGCAGUAAAAGCACUCAGUUUCAGGCUUGGGUCUAACUUUGGGCUUCUUCAUGGGAGUGGCAACUUGCUUCCCAUUCUUGUUGAAGUUCCCUUUCUUUCCCUUGCCCUUUUACUUGAAACUAGUGGUCUUGUCAACCAUCAACACUUGAUGUUUUUCUUGAUUUCUACCUUCGCCGAUUUCAGCGUCGCGAAGAGCUCAGGGAAUCAUUUUUGUCAUCCCUUGCAUAUUAUAGUUCAUCACGAAGUUCCGGUAACUUGGUCAUAGUGACUAGAGAACUCUGUCAAUCACUAUCUUAUCUGGAAGAUUAACUUCCACUUGAUUCAAGCGAUUGUAGUACUCAGACAUUCUGAACACAUGCUCACUGAUUGAGCUAUUCUCCUCCAUCUUGUAGGCAAAGUACUUGUCAGAGGUUCAUACCUCUCGACUCGGGCAUGAGUCUGAAAUACCAAUUUCAGCUCUUGGAACAUCUCAUAUGCUCCAUGACAUUUCAAAACAUUUUUGAAGUCCUGGUUUUAAGCCGUAAAGCAUGGUGCACUAAACUAUCAAGUAGUCAUCAUACCGAGCUUUGUCAAACGUUCAUAACAUCUGCAUCUGCUCCUGCAAUAGUUCUGUCACCUAGCGGUGCAUCAAGGACAUAAUUCUUCUGUGCAGCAAUGAGGAUAAUCCUCAGAUCAUGGACCUAGCCCGCAUCAUUGCUACUAUCAUCUUUCAACUUAGUUUUCUGUAGGAACAUAUCAAAAAUAAAACAAGGGAGCUAUAUGCAAGCUAUUGAUCUACAACAUAGAUAUGCAAAUACUAUCAGGACUAAGUUCAUGAUAAAUUAAAGUUCAAUUAAUCAUAUUACUUAAGAACUCCCACUUAGAUAGACAUCCCUCUAGUCAUCUAAAUGAUUACGUGAUCCAUAUCAACUAAACCAUGUCCGAUCAUCACGUGAGAUGGAUUAGUUUUCAAUGGUGAACAUUAAUAUGUUGAUCAUAUCUACUAUAUGAUUCACGCUCGACCUUUCGGUCUCAGUGUUUCGAGGCCAUAUUUGCAUAUGCUAGGCUCGUCAAGUUUAACCUGAGUAUUCUGCGUGUGCAAAACUGGCUUGCACCUAUUGUAUGUGAACGUAGAGCUUAUCACACCCGAUCAUCACGUGGUGUCUCGGCACGACGAACUGUAGCAAUGGUGCAUACUCAGGGAGAACACUUGUACCUUGAAAUUUAGUGAGAGAUCACCUUAUAAUGCUACCAUCGUACUAAGCAAAAUAAGAUGCAUAAAAAGAUAAACAUCACAUGCAAUCAAAUAAGUGAUAUGAUAUGGCCAUCCACUACAAAAAAAAGACACAUCCGUGACAUUUUGGGUCGAACGAAAUUUUUUUCUGUCAUACAUAUGACACUUCUAUGACGAUAAUUGUGACAAAAUCCAGUAUCAUCAUAGAUGUGGUGGGCUCCUACUUCUAUGACAAAAAAUCAUGACAGAAAAUGGGCUUUUCGUCCUGGGCGGGCCGGAGAUGCAGCUACAUGACCUUCUUUGGGCCAUACAUGACGGAAAAACCGUGGUAGAAGCGAGGGGGAGGAAAAUUUCAGGGAGUUGCUGGUCACGGUGGGAGGUUGGGGGCGGAACGAUGCGCGUUUCUCUCCUACGUACGCGCGUGUGUGCGAGGCGUUGGCUCUAAGUGAAGCCGAGCGAGGCGUUGGGCUGAGCGAUUGCACUGCAGGCUACGCGUUACUGAACCCGAGCGAUCGAUCGAUGGCUGUUAACUGAACCCGAUGGAGCGAUUCCUUCGCUACUGCUGCUAACUGAAGCCGAUCGAUGUUGCCUCUGGGAUGAACAGUGAGUGGUGGCGUUGCCUCUGGAUGAACAGGAACCCAUGGUGUGGAGGGCUGGAUGAACAGUAGACGGUGGAGGGGUGGCCGUGGAGGGGUGGUUGAACAGGACCCCGUGGUGUGGAGGGCUGGAUGAACAGUAGACGAUGGAGGGGUGCCCGUGGAGGGGUGGUUGAACAGUAGCCGGUGGAGUAGCGCGCGGUGGAGGCUGGAUGAACAGUAGCCCGUGGAGGCUGGAGGAGGUCGACGGUAUCCCGUGGAGGCUGGAGGAGGUCGACGGUAUCCCGUGGAGGCUGGAGGAGGUCGACGGUGGAGAUGAACAGUAUCCCGUGGAGUCCCGUUUUGCGGUACGCCACACCCCUCCCGAUGAACAAGACCCCCGUUUCGACAGUAGGAGGUCCGUUUCGUCCGUUUUGCGGUACGCCACACCCCUCCCGAUCAACAGGACCCCUAUUUCGACUGUAGGAGGUCCAUUUCGUCCGUUUUGCGGUACGCCACACCCCUCCCGAUCAACAGGACCCCAGUUUCGACCGUAGGAGGUCCGUUUUGUCCGUUUUGCGGUACGCCACACCCCUCCCGAUCAACAGGACCCCCGUUUCGACCGUAGGAGGUCCGUUUCCUCCGUUUUGUGGUAUGCCACGCCCCUCCCGAUCAACAGAACCCCGUUUUGAACGUGGCCGGUCGAACACAAGGCCGUUUCCUCCGUUGUGCGGUAUGCCAGGCCUCGUUUCCAUCGCCUAUUCCGUCCAAACCCUCCCGAUGAACACGACCACGCAUUCCGUUCCGACCCAGCCGGUUGGCUCCCCAUGAACACGACGACGAUGCUGUUUCUUCGUUCCGACCCAGCCAUGUACGUAUGCGCGAGUAGGAGUUAGAGACCCUCUCGCUGUUGUACGUACAUGUACAUGCUACGUGCGCGCCUCUACUACGACACGUGCGCGCCUCUACUACGACACGUGCGCGCCUCUACAUCAACCAGUAUGUAUGUACACGUUCGCGACCAGGAUGACAACGCUACGUACGCUUCGACCAGGUGGGUCCCGACUGUCAGGCACUUCCUUGCAUGCGAAGAUGUAGCUGGUGGGUCCCAGCGGUCAGGGGGCGAAUCGUUUUUUUGCUCGGACACACUUCCUUACGUGCGAAGGUGUAGCUGCUGGGUCCCAGCAGUCAGGGGGGGGGGCGAAUCAUUUNNNNNNNNNNNNNNNNNNNNNNNNNNNNNNNNNNNNNNNNNNNNNNNNNNNNNNNNNNNNNNNNNNNNNNNNNNNNNNNNNNNNNNNNNNNNNNNNNNNNNNNNNNNNNNNNNNNNNNNNNNNNNNNNNNNNNNNNNNNNNNNNNNNNNNNNNNNNNNNNNNNNNNNNNNNNNNNNNNNNNNNNNNNNNNNNNNNNNNNNNNNNNNNNNNNNNNNNNNNNNNNNNNNNNNNNNNNNNNNNNNNNNNNNNNNNNNNNNNNNNNNNNNNNNNNNNNNNNNNNNNNNNNNNNNNNNNNNNNNNNNNNNNNNNNNNNNNNNNNUGGUGGGUCCCAGCAGUCGGGGGGCGAAUCGUUUUUUUUCGGACGCACUUCCUUGCGUGCGAAGAUGUAGCUGGUGGGCCCCAGCAAUCAGGGGGCGAAUCGUUUUUUUUUGGACGGACUUCCUUGCGUGCGAAGAUGUAGCUCGUGGGUCCCAGCAGUCAGAGGGCGAAUCAUUUUUUCGUGAAAUACGGUGGCCCGUCUGGUGGGUCCCCGCUGUCAGGUGGAGCAAUAAUUAUUUUG